ACUACCAUUCCAAAUUGAAAACACAGGUUCGGUUUAGAUUCCCGAAGUUAAGCAAUGAUGAGAUUUAUUUAGUACUUGGGAGGGUAAAAAAAAAUCAUUUAGCUA